CCCGCAGCCCUGCUCGCCACCAGCUGCCUCCGCGCCCCGGUCCAUCUGCACCUUCUGCCUCAGCGACCAGCGGCAGCGGCACCGAGAAAAAGAGAAACCAUCACCUGGUCCAGCCGUAACCGGACUCUGAACAGGCUGAGGGUCUCGCAGCACUCCUGCUCUGACUGUACCACUGCUCUGGGUAACAUCGCCUCACUCGUGCUGCACCUUUACAUUUAGAUAGCACAGUCCUAAAAGAGUUACUUUUUAAGCCUAUACGCUUUGUUUCAUAUUGUGAGGGGUUUUUUCAGGAUGUUUUGCAAAUGAAAUUCGCUGCCUCCGUUGAGGCACCACGGUUGCACCUGGUGCGGCAGCUAUUUUAGCGCGAGAAAUGUUAAACCUCAGCAGCCAAGCCCUGAUCCUGAUGCCUCCUAAACCUGUGUCGCAUGAUGAAACUUGAACUUCCAAACACACGGUGUCCCCUGUCAGGGGAAGCUGCCGUGAACACGCCGUGCCCGACGCCUCCAGCGCAGCCCGGGCUGCACGCAGCGCUCGCUGCCGCCCACUCCUCCGGCUGCACGCCAGCCCCCGGGGACACGGCCCAUGCCGACAGCUGACAUGCUUGAGAGGUCUCAGCCAUGCUGGAAGAUUAUUUUGAGGUGCUCACAGAAAGUCGGAAAACUUCCAGCGAAAGCAGCCCGGUUGGCUGUGCACAGGCGCUGCGGCACGGGAUGUAUCCAGCACAGGAGAGGAAAGGGGAGAAGUGCAGUGUAAGCGAUGCUCUUUUCUUAUUAACAGGGCGAGUCGUGCCAGUCCUUUAAAUAGCACAGGAUAUUCCUAAAUCUGCCGGGCAAGGAGGGUUUCCCAAGGGCUUUUACCCAUCACCCAGGUAGUUCCAUAGCUGCCCCGUACAUCACUGAGGUUGUUUAUCUCCCCUCAGUUUACUAACUUGUAUACUUUUUUUCAGAAGUAACUGUAAAAGGCAAAUAAGAUUUUCUGUUUUCAGAUUUGGACAUUAGUGAAGCAGCAAGCUAAAAUCUUAAACCCCAGUAAUGCUGAGGUUUAAGAAACACAGAGAUAGGUUAAUUUUGCAAUGUUUUUUAUAGCUAUUUAUAAUACAAUUAAUUAGGCUUUAAUUAAUCUAAACUCGUUAUUUGGGGAGGCACUCUGUAACUGUAACCACUCCAAGUGCUGCAAGGAAAACUUUCCUUUUUCCUCCCCUGAUGCCAUCUGUGCAGUGCUCCUGGCCAGCCUUGCUGCUCUGGCCAGGAGUGAGGGCUGAAGAAGCAGCUCUGUGUUGUUCACUUUCUUUUCUGUCCAGAGUUUUCUCUCCUUGUCCUACAUAAGUGCAAAGCAAAAUCUGGCAGUCGUUAUGAAGAACUUGGCAAGAGCAAGGUCGUGGUGUACUCCUACACAACUUCACCUUUUCAGUUUCCCUUUUCCCCUGCUCAACAUAACAGCGGCCACUUUUUCUGUAGCACAAUGAGGAAAAAUCUGCUGUACCUACAGAAAUGCAGUGAGCUCUUCCUUUGAAUUCCAACAAAGCAAAAUCUCAGCGAUUCCACAUCACGUCAGUCUCUUCAGUUAUUAAAAGCUACAGGAUGUAUUUUCCUGGAUUGAGAGGAGAUUCUUGUUUUUAGGUUUCUAUCAUUAAUCUCUUUUUUUAAUGGGGAACUUUCAGUUGCUGCCAGAUCAUGGUCUUUGCUUUGGCACUGAUUUGUGAAGCUGGAACUCUUUAUAGCUUUGUACAGUGUUUUUUAAUUUUUGUGUUGUGUCAGCCUCUAUGUGUGGGUAUAGAGUUCUACAAACAUACCUUCCUGGAUAUUUUUUUAAUCAAUUUGAAAAAAAUUGUUUUUUAAAAAGUCAUUUACUUCACAAUUAAAGCUGAUCUUACAGUUCAGCCCAACAUUCUUAUGAACACAUUAAACCAAAACAUCUGACCUCUUUAUAGACAAUUAACACUAAUUUAUUCAUUUAGCUGUAUCAUUUCAUAUGAUACCCUAAAAUGACAAAACAUAAUGCAGUUUCAAACAAUUGUAGGAAAAUUUUGCAUUGAGUAAGCUCUGAAUUUUGAAUUUUGUAGGAAAGACAAUAAAAUUAUUUAUUUCAGGUUUUCAAAAAAGGAUUUUUUUGCAGUUUUAAGAGUUUUUAGUGUAGCUCUUGGCAAAUGAAAUAUAUUUGGAUUUAAUAAGAUAUCUUUAUACUUAGUUGUUAAAGGAAAUGAGUACAAAAUGUGAGGUCCAUUUUUGUACCAAAGUAUGAGCUGAAAUCUCAUAACUCGAAACUCUCAUGAAUAAUUUCUACAAUCCUAUAGGAAUUUGAUGUUCUCCCUCUAAUGAGGAUUUUAUCUCCCUAGUUUUGCAAAGGGUUUAUACCAAAUGCUUUUCAAUGACAAAAGCAGGAGCAGGCCCUAACAACUUAGCCUUCUCUCCUGUUUAAUGUGGCUCAGCGUACCAUUAAAUUCUCUCUUUACUCAGGAUAAACUGUUGAAUUCAACUGGGCUUGGAGAUUUUCUCAGGGUUUCAAUUACUAAAUAAUGCAGGAGUUUCAGUAACACUGAUUGAUCAUGGCAGAAAUUAGACCCCAGAGCACUGUGGCCCAAAUAUUUAUGGUAUAGACAGAUAAUGUCUAUCCAAAGCAAUUAUAACCAUGAUUUCUCUGAGGAACAUUUAUAUAUGUGUAACUCUGUGUAUUUAAAUGAGGAGAACUGGGGACAAGUCCUUAACUUUGCUGAAAUUUAUUUGUAAUGUAAAACUUCUCUAACCCCAGGAGCAGAAAAAAAAAAAGAUAUAGGAUUGAGCUGUUACUCUGUAAUGGAUUUUCUAUAAAUCAAGGGAAAAAAAAAAGAAUUUAAUUUCUGGAGACACAGAUGAAUUGAGGGCUUGGAUUGCACAUAUAAAGAGCUCAUCAUCAUUAGGUAUUUUACUGAGUUUUUACUGUAUGAGCUUGUGUGUCUUAUCAGACCUAUUUUUUAAUCAUGGAGCAGCGUUAUUCAUGGCAUGCAAAAUAUAAAAGUCAAAAUCUUGAGGGUGUCAGAGAACAAGUACCUCACUUGAGGUAAUUGACCAAUGAGGCAUUGGAAUGAUGUGAGUUUUUCCAGAGGUGCCAAACAGCCUCUUGUUCUGCAGAUAUUGGGGAUAUUGACUUACUUGUGAGCACAUUCUGUUCUGUAUGUAUGAACAGAGGCAUGCCUGAUGCCAAUCCCAGCUUUGUUUUCCUGCAAACACUUGGCUAUUCAAUUUAUGAUGCAUGAAUAAAGCAGAAACAGUGAGAUAUACACCAUUUGGCCUCAGAUCCUAUUAAAUUAUUGUUAAAAUAAUCCAAGCAUAGUACUUUGUGUAAAUCAUUGUACGUAGCCUGCUACAUCACUAUAUAAAAACAGCACCAAGCAAAGUGAAUAAAUCAUGUUUGAUUUUACAGGUUAAAUUUAAAGAAGCAUUUGAACAUAGUUCUUAGUUAUUUAUGAAUUAAUCAUAAUGUAAGUCAAAGUAGUUUCAUAUGUUGCCUUCUAUUUUCACUGCUGUUCUACAAAACAGAAGUUUCCUUUCAUGGAAAAUCUGCUUCUUUACAAAAAUCUGUAUUUGUUUGCAAAAUGUGAUUACAUUUGCUAAAAUAAACUAUUUUUGUUACUAAUUUAAACAAUAAACUGCAAACACUAAGCUGGAAGUUCUCUUCCACAGCCAUCUCAA